UAAUUGCGAUUUAAAAUCAGUUGCAGGCCUGGAAAUCAUUAUGCAAUUUACUUUGAAUUUUGUGUGUGUGCUACUCGCGUUGUGCUUGCAGAUUCUGACAAUUUCUAAUUCCGAGGCAAAGACAUGGAAUCCGCAGUAUGCCUAUAAAAGGCAAACUCAACUUGUACCCCUUAACACAUCCUUAACAGAGGCUCAACUUGGGUUAAUGAUGGAGCUAUGCAAUGGCAAUGGCAUCAAAUGCCUGCAUGCUGAGCAAUGUUGUUCACUAAAAUGCUUAAAGUACACAAAAAUCUGUAUAUUUUAGGCACAUGAUAGUUGUGUUCCAAAAGACAAACAAUAAAUCUAUGACAGCAUAAUAAAUUCACAAAA